CUACUUCGCUCGGCUCGGCGAUAAACUUGCACUCCAGGUAUUCUGUCUUAUAUCUGCUUAUUUUGAAACCCUUAAACUCGAGAGUCUGUCUCUAUAAAUCUAGCCUCUCAUUAACACCGACCCUCGUCUCGUCUAUCAAGACUAUGUCAUCAGCAAAUAGCAUACACCAAGGCAUAUCCCCUUGAAUAUGUCGGGUUAGAGCAUCCAUCACCAAGG
rnacentral:lncRNA from 1 species